GACCCUAAGUUUUGCAAAAAAGCACUUUCUCCAAUGAAUAUGUCCAUUGACCAGCCGAAACCCCAUAACCUAUUAGCUCAGUAACCAUUUUCUUUGCAUUCUCCUCCCGGGGAGCAUUGCAUAGACUAGAGAGGAGAACCCUCUUUCUUGCUCGCUUCUCGUCAAAGCGUCAUCCUUGUAUACCGAACAUCUAGGGAAGACUGCAUUGUAAUGAACUGCUUAUCGCGUGUUUCUUCCUAUACUGCGGGUAUAGUUGGAAGAGCAAGCCAUUUCAUUUGGCGGAGUACUUCGCAUCAAUGUUCUAUUCCCUUGUGGAAAAGAAGCUUUGAUCAAGCUGGUCUUAAAACAGUCAAUUUGGAAUCUUUGUUACCCAGGUUUCGUGUUCAGUGCUACUCGUCCCGAAAAGCUAGUGCAAAAACUUCGCCUAAGAGGAAAUUGGAUCCUGCUCCAGCAGUCAUGGAGCAAGAGAAGGAUGCUUUCUUUGUCGUGCGUAAAGGCGAUAUUGUUGGUGUUUAUAAGAGUUUCGCCGAUUGUCAGGCUCAAGCUGGAUCUUCGAUAUGCGACCCUCCUGUCAGUGUUUACAAGGGGUAUGCAUUACCUAAGGACACCGAGGGGUAUCUCAUGUCACAUGGGCUUCAGAAUGCUUUAUACACGAUCAGAGCUUCAGAUUUGAAAGAGGACCUUUUUGGCACACUUGUCCCCUGUCCAUUUCAACAACCCACUUCCUCCAAAGGAGCAACACACUUGCUGGAUGCCACAAAAAAGAGAUCACAAGAAUUACUGGAUGCAGGAACAGAUGGAUCAUCAUCUGGCUUAACUGAUCCCUUGAGAAAGCAUGCCAAGUUGGACAAUCAAAGCAAGGCUCAGCCACUGUCUAGUGACUGUCACUCCUGUAUUCUUGAGUUUGAUGGUGCUUCGAAAGGAAAUCCUGGACCAGCUGGGGCUGGAGCUUUGUUACGGACUACCGAUGGAAGUGUGAUAUGCAGAUUGCGAGAAGGAUUGGGCAGAACAACAAAUAAUGUAGCUGAAUAUAGAGCCAUGAUUUUGGGGCUGAAAUAUGCUCUUAAAAGGGGAUAUACAAAAAUUCAAGUCCAAGGUGACUCUAAACUUGUUUGUUCUCAGAUUCAGGGUUUAUGGAAGGUCAACCACCCUAACCUUACCAAGCUGUAUGAGGAAGCAAAACAACUGAAGGACAAGUUUGUUUCUUUUCAGAUCAACCAUGUUCUAAGGGAAUAAUCUGGAUGGUUGAUUCUAUUGAUGGUGAUGGAGAUGGAGAUGAAGCUUAAAACAGCAGUAAGGAACUCAAAGGGAAAAAAAAGUACGGAGUAGUCUACCCCAGCAGAACAGUUUAUGCCCCAAGCUUCGAGAGCUGGAAUAGCAAAUGGCGUAGAAGAAUAGAAUGAAUCUCUCCCUUUUAUUUAUUCCAUAUGAAUUUAACUCUCAGGCUGAUGCCCAAGCAAACUUUGCCAUCAACCUUGCUGAUGGCCAAGUUGAAGAGGAAUCUGAAUAGCACCUCAUAAUGGAGACUGCAGUGUGCACUGCAUUCUGAGCUCAUGUUUUAGUGCAAAAGUCAACUCUAGUGAUUGAAUUCUUUCAGAGUUGAAGCUGGCAGCACUAGCAGGCUUUGUAACAAGGAUUGUGGUUUAACCUUGCACCAAUUUCCGUUUCGUCUAGAUAUGCUCGAGCUUGAGAUAUCAGCCUCAUUCAUUCUGUAACACAGCACAAAGAUAAUUUAGCAAGCGCUGAGUUCGUAUCUUUUUUUUUUUUUUUUU